GACGAACGCUGGCGGCGUGCUUAACACAUGCAAGUCGAACGGAAAGGCCCUGCUUGCAGGGUGCUCGAGUGGCGAACGGGUGAGUAACACGUGGGUGAUCUGCCCCUUACUUUGGGAUAAGCCUGGGAAACUGGGUCUAAUACUGGAUAGGACCAUGCUGGAGGUGGUGUGGUGGAAAGAUUAGUUUCGGUAAGGGAUGAGCUCGCGGCCUAUCAGCUUGUUGGUGGGGUAAUGGCCUACCAAGGCGUCGACGGGUAGCCGGCCUGAGAGGGUGGACGGCCACAUUGGGACUGAGGUACGGCCCAGACCCCUACGGGAGGCAGCAGUGGGGAAUAUUGCACAAUGGGCGCAGGCCUGAUGCAGCGACGCCGCGUGGGGGAUGACGGCCUUCGGGUUGUAAGCUCCUUUCAGCCAUGACGAAGCCCUUGUGGUGACGGUAGUGGUAGAAGAAGCACCGGCUAACUACGUG
rnacentral:rRNA from 1 species